CUUUCUUUUGAUUCCCAAAUAAUAGGAAAGAAAAAUCACCAGAAAAAACUCAGGAUUUCAUUAAACUCUUUAAUAAAAUAAAUCUUAAAAUUUAAUUUUUGCAACUGAAUGCAUUACAACUAAAUACCUCUAUUCAUGUUUGUCACAACCGCUAAUAAAUGCCUAUUGUCAUAAACCACUAAUAAUGUCUAGUACAUGUUUGGUAGUUUUUUGGACAAUUUCCUUAUUUACUAAAACCUUUUUGAGUCCGGAUCUUCCUCUCCAGCUAUUCUUCCUGUCAAGGGUCAGGAUUUAGCCACGUCACCAAAGCUAAAGUCUACGGCUCAGAUCAAUGCUGGCUCUGGUGAACGAUGAUCAGCGGCAAAUCGAAGUCGGCGAUAAACAUCAACGGUCUGUCCCUCUCUCCUUCUGUCUUACUCCGAAGAUUUCUGAAUUUGGUAAGAGUUGAAGGUUGAAAAUGGGAAAGGAGUUUGCAGUUUUUUUUGUUUGUUUGUUUUUCUUAGUGAAUUUCUUGUGAUGAGAAUCUCAGUUUUUGUAUUGCAACUGCCAUUUUCAUUGUUUAAUAGGCAGCAAAAAAACUUUAAAAAAAAAAAAAAAAAAAAAACGUAGAGAAGAGAGUGAAACCAGGCAAACCAAGAAUCAUGAAAUUUGUUUGUUUAGUGUAAUGUUGGUACGUGUUCAACCACAAUUGCACAAUUCGCAAGGUUUCUCCGAUUACGGUAACUCUUAUAGACUUUCUGGACCUUAACCGCUGCAGCAUCAAGCUCACUAACAGGUCUUGGUGAAAACAAUAUUGCUGGCUCAGGAAGCGAAAUUGAGGGCACUGAUUUAUUAAAUUCAAAUUCCUUACGUCUUGAACUAAAUUCUUGAAUGAAAGUGUUGUUUUGAGCAUUA